CACUCGAUGAUAAUGUUGGUCGUCGACAGAGUGGAAGGUUCCUUCGGCGGCCUGCAGGUGGCGGCAGAGCUCAGCGGACAGCGACGCUGGGAACUUUUCAAAAACACGAAGCAUCCUUUGCGGCAUCAAGAAAUAAUAUUUGGCUUCAUGCUCCAUUGACACUGUCCCAAGUGAGUAUCAUGGUAGAAGGAUGCUGAGGAUGGAGCUGCCAGGCAAAAGAGCGAGAGAGAGGAAGACCAAAGAGAAGGAGAGAGGAAGAUGCAGGAGAUAAGACCAAGAUGGCAAAAGAUGACACGCUGUGGCGACCCCGUACGGGACAAGCCGAAAGGAAAAGAAGAAGAAGAAGAAGAAGAAUUUUCUCCUAAAAUUAUGAAGUGGUUUUGAAAAUACAAAACUUAUUAUUCUCUCGUGAGUUUAAGGCUUUUUCUUCCAAAUAUAUAUAUAUAUUUGAGAGGUAUAUGUAUUUUUGGGGGAGAAAAUAUGACUGUGAGUUAUAAUGACCCUAACACCUUCAAUAAUGACUAUUCUUAAAUAAAAUCUAUCAUCC